AUAUGAGCGCCUCAUUUAAUGUAUGCAAAUUGCCCAAUGCUACUCUGCAAACCAGUUUAAUUUCUAACAUUAAGUAGCAGUAACCAAUGAAGAUAGUGUGUAGCAGUUUGUUACCUUGUGCCCUGCAGGAGGUGUGUGGUUACUGUCUGCUUGCUUCCUAUUGGCCAGACGUUUCUAAGUCAGUUGAGGUAUCAUUGUUUAGUUUGUUUAUAGACGCUGCAUUCUUUUAGCACAGCUGAAAAGACAGCAAACUGCUCUUUUGGGUUUCAGUGUCUCUGCUCACUUUGUAGCUUUGACAUUGCUCCAUAACCAGCCAUCAGCAGUACCAUGACAGACAGUGAUCCCAAGACCCCACAGGACCUCUCCGACUUUGUAAGUGUUAUGUUGAUGUUGCUAUAUGUUACAUGUGAGUUGUCGAUUAGGAUUGUGGGAUCUGUUUGGAGGAGUUGGCUGGGAUUUAAUAUCACCUAGUUACAUGAAUUGCAGUCUAACCAUUCAUACUAAGCUAUAUCUGUUCAUAUUAUAUGUUUUAAAGCUGUCUUGAUUCUAGCUGCUCAUCUUGUCAGAUAAGAGGCUGACCACGAUAUAUAUAUAUUCAAUUAUGUUAAUGAAAUAAUUUUCCCUUUGUUAAAUGUAUAUUAUUUUCUAACUUUCACUGCACCUUGUGAUGAAAAUUUAAAAAAACAUUUAAGGUUUCAUUUACUAAACAUUUCGUACCAAAGUGAUAUUUAAAGGAGCAUUCUAUGCACCAAAAUCACUGGAAGCUACUGCGGUGAUUAUGAUACCAGGAGUGCGCUGGCGCUGUCCCUUGGCAAUGUGUCAAACUGUUUUAUUAUAAUCUAACAAUUUUCUGGGUCUCUCUUGGCUCCUUGGCUGAGCGCUUGCUGCUGAUGCUAUGCCCUUUCUUGAAUGGCCCUGCUUUUUCUACAGAGCAAUCUGUAUGUAGUGCAGGGCUUGACACAUUUUUUGGGAAUCUGGGAGCCAGCUAAAAACGUUAGGAGCCAGUUUUUUUUUUUUUUUUAAAGGGACACAAUAGUCACCAGAACCACUACAGAUAAAAGUAGUUGUUCUGGUGUCUAUAGCCUGCCUAUGUAGCCUUUUCAAUGUAAAUGCUGCAUUUUCAGAGUAUUUCUGCCUACUAAGACCUCUAGUGACAGUCACUCAGGAGGCCAGAGUUCUGUGUGGGUGCUCUGCAUGGAGGUGCUAAAUGUUACCCAUAGAGAACAUGCACAAUAUCCUCCCAAUGCUUUUCAAUGGGAAAGCAAUGGCUUAGCUGAGAUCAUAAAGAUUGCUCAACUCGGCUAUGAAGACGGGACAAGCCACGGCGAAACCAGCACGGCGUGGGAAAAUAAAGGGGGUAAAAACAUCAAUCAUGUGAUCGGAGGGGGGCAGGGACCUAAACCAUCACACACUCUCUGACAGACACAGGCACGCACUGACAGACACAUAUGCACACACCGAGAGAGACUGAUACACACUGACAGACACACACACUAACAGACAUUUGCACAUACUGAGAGACCAAGACAUACACAGAGAGACAGAGACAUACACACACACAUUUGCUCACACACUUACAAAAAAAAAAGUAAUUUUUCUAUUGUAAUCCACCCAGCCUCCCUACCUUUUGGGAGAGCUGUGUGAAUAUUUCCCUGGGGUCCAGUGGGGCUGCUCUAUCUUCCUGCGUUCGAGGGAGCAGUAAUCUACUUGCAGCUCCUCUCUGCUCCCUGUGGUGAUGCCGGGACCGGAAUUACAUCAUUUUGAGUCCCAGCAUCAUUAAACAACGUGAGGAACUGCAGAAAGAUCACUGCUGCCUCAGCCGACCACCUCGAUGCUCCCCGUCAGCCGGCCACCAGGGCGGCCGGCUACAACGUUCCCUGAGCUGACCACCUCCAUAAAACCCAGAGCAGCCGACUACAACGCUCUCUGAGCCAGAUGCCUUCAUGCUCCUACAGGCGGCCGACUCCAUUAUUUUCACAGUCGGCCGCUUUAGGUGAAAGGGCAAAAUUUCUAGUCACCAUGGCGACCAGGCACCUGGAAUUUGUCAAGCCCUGAUGUAGUGGUUAUGGUGCUUGAAUGCAGGGCCGGAUUCACAUAGGGGCUGAUGGAGCUCCAGGUCCAGGCCCUGGCCCUGGCCCAUGGAAUAGGCACAUUUAAAAAAAAAAAAAGUUUUUACACACUACUCUUAGGUUUGACUGGUAUUUUACCAGCACAGCCGGUAUUUUGAGGCUGCCUGGCCAUGCCGGUAUUGCAGUAAUACCGGCAAUAAAAAUGCAGAUAUUUUUCUCAGUAUAAACGGAGAUUACUCUGCAUUACCAGCGCCAGUAGGGGUCACUAUGUGUGGAGAGGCAGACAUGCCCCCUUUUUGGGCAUGUUUGCCCCUUUUGGCAGUUCUGAUCACGUGAUUUGUGUCAGUGGCCCACCCUUUUACCUCGCCCAUUGACUUUCUACUUCACUGGACUCUGCUGUUAGGGGGUAUGGAUUUACUUGAAAGCAUAAAUUAGAGAGAGAUUAGCAUAGAGUAUGUGUUUUCUUAUAGCUGCAUCCCUCCAACACCAUCUCCAUCAGAUACAUGACGCUUGAGAUGUAUGACUGUAUUAGUGUUUUUGGUCGAUAACACAGAUGGGUAUACAUGGAACAGAAAGCCACAGAUAAGCACAUCCAUAAACAGCCGUAAGCAGACUCAAACAGGCGCAAACACAAAAAGGCACAGUCGAGGCUAAAAGUCAAGUUUGGGAGAUUGGAGAAUAGAGAUGGAUUGGUGGGAAUAAUGGAAGCAUAGGAAUUGGAUUUGAUGGAAGGAAAGAAAUGGAGACAAGGAAGGAAGUUAUGGGAUUAAAGGGACACUUCAGGCACCCAGGCCACUUCUGCCCAUUGGAGUGGUCUGGGUGCCAACUCCCACUACCCUUAACCCUGCCAGUGUAAUUAUUGCAGUUUUUUUAUAAACUGCAAUAAUUACCUUGCAGGGUUAACUCCACCUCUAGUGGCUGUCUACUUCUGUGUCCUCUAGCACAGAUUUUCUGUGCUAGAGCGUCGCUGGACGUUCUCACGCUGUGUGGACCUCCAGCGUCGCUCAAUUCCCCAUAGGAAAGCAUUGAAAAGCAUUCAAUGCUUUCCUAUGGGUAGCUCUAAUGUGCAUGAGCGGCAUUGCCGCCCAUGCACAUUAGGUUUGGCCGGCGGGCGGGAUCAGUCUCGCCCACCGGCCGACAUAAUGAAGAAGAGGAGCGGCGGCAACCCGAAACCACCGCCGAGGGACAUCAGCGGGGGUCUCAGGUAAGUGACUGAAGGGGUUUUCACCCCUUCAGCAAUCAGGGAUUGGGAGGUGGGAGGGAGAGGGGACCUGCAGUGCCAGGAAAACGGGGAUUGUUUUCCUGGCACUGGAGUUACCCUUUAAGAGAGGAUAGAGAGAGAUUUGAAUGAAGGGAGGAUAAGUGUGAUGGGAAUGUAAGAAUGCAAAGGAGUGAUGAGCAUUGUUAUGGCAGUAAAGAGAUAGCAUAUGUCCAGACACUUUAAUUGAAAAAAGAAGCGGUGGGCGUGAGGCCAGGGCCGGAGCGGUUUUGAGACAUUUUAGGUUACUUACUAAUUACAAUUUAUAAAAUGUAACUUAAAACAAUAUCUUAUUGACCCAGACUGAUUCCAACACCUUAAUUGUACGUUAAAUACAUAUUACUAAGAGUUUUAUUGCUGUGGAGCUCUGUUAUACUCACACACCAACAACCUUGAAAAGAGGGACAUUAGGAUGUAAAGGGGACAUAGGGAGUUGGGCCCAAAAUAGGGACUGUACUUUCAAUACAGGGGCACUUUGGAGGUAUGGGGGGAGGGAGUGAUAAUUUACAAUGUAUAUGGAUUUUAGGGAGCCAGGAGUGCAUUGGUGCCAUCCCAGGCUAAAUGGUUACUCCAAGCACCAUGAUCAUGUCAGUAAAAUGAAUUGAAGUGGUCUUGGUGCCCAGAGUCUGUAUGUUUCAGAGUAAUAUGUGGGUAAUGUUUAUCCUGUUGCAAAUUGUGUGUCUGAUGCCAGCACACACAGUAUACUUGAACCAGAUGCUCAUAAGCAACAUGAAAUCCUCCCUUUCAUGCUGCCCAUGUCCUCAUCUCAGGCUGCCCUGACUGACCUCCGUCCCCCUAGGACCCGCCGACAUGGGCAAAUGCUGCCAAUGGAGGAAGAGUGGGUUGUGAGGGAAACUUGGCCAUGCCACUGGAAUUUUAAAUAUAUAUAUUUUGACCACUUACCUGGGGUUGACUUGUCCAGCUGUGUGCUCCUUAUAGUGCAGGGCUAAGUUCAUUGCCUGCGAGCACUCCGCUGAGGCAGGAGCUGUGACUAGCACACGGUAGACCCCAGGUAAGUAGCUAAACAGUUCCAAAAUGGUUUGACUAAUUACCCUGGGAGGGCGUUGGGGUACUCCUGUUACCAUAACCACUACAGUGGGCUGUAGUGUUAGGUUAUUGUGCUUGGAGUUCUUCUUUUUAGAGUAGUAGUAUUUCAUCAUUACAGGAAUCGUACUGCAUAAAAUUACAAUUAUGUCUUUUCUUCCAGGCAGAGAGUCUGCUGAAAGGCCUCCAGGAAAGAUUCCAGGGGAUGUCAGAUCAACUAACACAAAGAAAUAUCCUUUUGGUUGCACUUUGAAAUAAGUGUCAGUUUUCUCUAUUGUGGGAUUGAGUUGUUUUGUUAAAGUAUCACCUGGCUGUUACUCAACCAAUGCAAUAGUGUAUGUUCUAGAAAUUAGGGGUAAAAGAGAUGAGGCCAAAAAUUAAAACAAGUGAAAAGUAUACUAUACUUAAGUCUGCAUUAUUUCUUAAUUGGUCAUUUAUUGGCACCAGCCUCACAAAUCUACGUUAUGCCUGGGAAUUGUAACCGUAAAUAACCAUUGAAGAUAUACAGUAAAGUGCUAUGAAUGUUUCAAGAGUGCUACAUUAGGUUUUAGCAAGGGUUUAGAUUGUAGUCGCUGCCAUUUUGCUGGUGUGAAAGGUCAGUUGUAUGCAAAGUACGGAGUAUGAAAGUAAAAUUCAGUGGCUGUGUAUAAAAACAACAAAACCAAUUAUAUGGUAUGAAUUAAACCAGAAAUGUACCACCACAAUAAUAAAUACACACCAAACACUUAAAUCACAGAACGUUAUUUUCAGAUUUAAAUGCUUGGCCAAUGUACACAGCAGGUCCUUUUCUGAUAAGAUCAAAUGUAAGACAUGUUGAAUAUUUUAGUUAAAAUAUUAUUUCAGGGGUUGAUUAACGUGUGUAUGAGUCUGAAAGAUGUGUUUUUGUUAAGAGUUACAUUUAUAUAGGUUUAUAUAAAAAUACUCAAAAUAUCAUAUAGGCAGCAAUUAUAUAUUUUUUUUCUCUACGGCCAUGUCUCCCUUCUUUCAUAAGAUUUACCAAACCCAUUAUAUGUGAGUACAUUUCGAAUAAACUGUGUUGAUUCAACACAAGGAAAUUAGACAUUUGUAAUGGUGUUAAAUGGCUUUGUCUGCCAUGCUGACAAGUGUACAAAGUAAACAUAUAAGAAAGAAGUUGGGGAAACAUUUUACCCCUUAUAACAAUAUGUGUUUUAGGUCUUGCUCAGCAUUAUUCAAACUUCUAAUCCAGUCCAUACAAAUUCUACACAAUGCAGAGGCAUUGCCAACCCUACAUAAAGUAUCGAAAAAAAGCUGAGGGGAGACAGCAGGCUUUACUAUGGGUAGUGUUUAUUUUAUUUUUUUCAUCAUCCAAGAAUACUUCUAUCUCAAAGCACCAUAUUAUGUUAGGCAUCCAUAUAAGCUUUACCUAGCUAGAAAAUGUUUUUAUAUACAUAAGAAGGAAAAGAGUGAAUUUUUGGUAGAACAUAAUUUCAUGCUAACUCAUGAUAAAGGCCAUAUAUCCUCAUAUACUUCAGAUAAGAUGAUUUUCUAUCCUGUUUUCUUAUGGUACCUAAGAAUACCAUAUUCCCUAGCUGUUUGUCUACAGACCCAUUGAUAUAGGACAUCAAACUUAAGCAGUAAACACAAUAUAUUCUAAAUAAUAAAGGUCCACUAUAGUUUCAGGAUUACUAAUGUGUUCCUGACACUAUAGUGCCUAUGUGGCUGUUUAGGUCACCAGACCCCCUUGGAUCGCACUGAAAAGGUGUUAAACUCGCCUCUUCUCCAAUUCUGCAUGGUCUGGCUGCAGCAUGCCCCAAUUCUGUUUUGAUGAUCUUAGCCAAUGUUUUCCCAUAGCUUCCUUCGCAGGGCGUGAAGACGCUGAAUGCUGGUGCUGCACACUGUGCAGCACUGACAUGGAAAGCACCUCUAGUGGCAGUCUUGAGUUGCCAGCCAGCAAUGUAAACACUGCUUUUCUCUGAAAAGGCAGCGUUUACAAUGAAAAGCCUAUAUUAAAGGGAAACUAUAGUGCCAGGAAAACAAACUUGUUUUCCUGGCACUAUAGCUCCCUAUAGUGUCCCACUAUGUCACUCCCUGUGCUGGGAUGGUCGCGUUGCAUUAGGCCUUCCCCCAUAGGAAAGCAUUGUAAAAUUGUAAGGAUUGUAUAAUGCUUUCCUAUGGGAUUUUGGGUGUUGCUGGAUGAUCUCGUGUAUAGCGUGAGGACGUCCAGUGUCAGGCGACCAAAAGUUGCCCAAGGACAAGGAAGUUCCUCUAGUGGCUGUGUGGUAGACGGCCCCUAGAGGUUUAGUGAACUCUGGCAGGUAAUUACUGCAGUUUACUAAAAUCUGCAAUAAUUAUCUUUGCAAGGUUAAGGGACAUGGGACACUGCACCCAGACCACUUCAAAGAGCCGAAGUGGUUUGGGUACCUAUAGUGUCCCUUUAAAGAUUUUAGCAUAAGAUAGCUGGAGAAAGGUAAAAUGUUAUGCAACCAGAAACAUUUGGCAGCAAGAAUGCUUUCAAUAUGUCAUAAUAUGUGUUUUACGAAGAUAACUAAGUAACCAAUGAAUUGUUGGGAUUAUUCUGACUCUGUGCUAUCUAUGGGAAUGAAUUAAAACUGAGUCUUUAAAAGCUAUAUGCUUUUACUAAAUAAAAUAUAAAAUUAUAUUUUUGGUCGUACAUUAAUUUCUCCCAGCUAGCAGAUUAAUGAGGUUUGUCUGUGAUCUAUUCAACUGCCCAAGUUUAAGUGAUAGGCCGAUCCAACAGGCGUGAACAUCCCCAUUAAAAAAUGACCUUUUACAGUGUACUUGUAAAAUGUACAAAUAUCCUUAUUUUAAAGUUAUGUAUAUUAAUGAUAACCUACCAGCAUUGCAAGUUUAGAAUAAUCAAAUAUUUUUUUAUAAAAUCACCUGUUAUGUAACACUAACUCCCAUGAUGCUUUGUCAAUCACAUUAGUCAUUAAAGUGAGACCGCAAGGUGAAUAUAAAGUAAAAUUCAAACUUAAGGUAAAAAAAAGCCAAAAUUAACAGCUUCUCUAAGUCGGCUAUGCUUUUAGUUCGUUUGGCUAAGAUCAUCAAAACAGAGGCGGAGCAAGCAGAGGCUAGACUAUUGUGGCGUUGGAGAUCCAAUGGGGGCCCAGGACCUAAACUGCUCUGGACUUACAUUUGAAAUUCACUUUGAAUUCUCACUUUAGAAAAUAACCCUGUAAGUAUCACAGGACAUGCCUAUUGUAGCUGAGAAGCCUUCUGAUGAUUUAUAGGUAAAAUGGAUUAUUCUAUAAUGAAUAACAAUUGUUUACUUAACAAACUUUUUGGACUACAUCUGGAAUGAAUAUUAUGAAAUUUACAUUACACCUAGAGUAUUAAAAGGCAAUGAAAAUUUGGCCUUUUGUAUAUAUAAAACGCAGUUCUGCAGCAAAAUAAUAAAAUGGAGAAAUUAUCAUCACAACCAAUAUGUCCUUGAUUGAUAGAUUUUUAGAAUUUGACCCAAAAUAGCUUUCUAUGCAGAUUCCCAACAUGGCAUUUCAGUUUUUAUCUUUUCAAUACAGAAAUGAAAACAUAUUUAAAUAUAUCUUAUGAUAAACCGGUUGAUCAAGAAUGUUUUGAAUACUUGAAAACUAUUUUUUAUAAUUUUCUUUAAUAUCCUACUGGAAGAAAUUGGCUCCAAGCUUGACGAACUGCAGAAGGAUGUCAGUGAACUGAUGACACAAGCUGGCAUAGAUAACCCUGAUGAUGUAGUGGUAAGAAUCUUGUUUGCUUUUCAUUAGGCAAAAAAUUUAGUUUACAAUGGGAUGAUUUACUAAGCUCUAAAUUCAAACCAAUUUACAAAAUUAGAGUAAAAGAUCUCAACGGAAUGAGAGCGGUUUACCAGGAUUCAAAAGUGUUUCCAAGGAAAUAUUGGUGGAUUUCCACUGGCAGAAUGAAGCAGAUCGUAUUUACCAGUUAACAGGCAAUUGCUCACAAUGAGUAAACAUAGCUUCCAGCAUUAGGCGAUAUGAACUCAGGAUGGGAAAAAGUGCACACCACGCACCCUGGCCUGCUGAACAUAAGGCUGUCCAUGGACAGAGCUCUUCUAAAUCGAGAGCACUCACACUGCGCAGUGCAAGUUCGUCUAAUAAUGCACUAAUGGUGUGCUUGCUGGAGACAUUUCUAUGGUGUCUAGAGACGUGGCACACAAGUUAACAAACCCGGGAUGACGAGACAGGAGUCCAAAACCCAGGACUGUUGGGAGGCAUGCUAUAGUGCACGUUGCUUUGGGAAGUAUUUCCAAGCAGGGACAACAGUGUAGAAGGGAACAGAGGGAUGGAUGUUACAUUAGUAAAAUACCCACAUAGAUUUCAGCAUUGCUGGACUUGAGGUGAAUAUUAAAUAUCUCCUAAACCAAUAAAUUAUAUAAUAUCUUUAUGAUAACUCACAUAUUAAUUCAUUAAAGAGAUAAUUGCACUUACGCUGAACCAAUCAUGACUGGUAUAGAUACUAAAUAAGGUGUUCAACACACAUAGUGUGUUGUGGUUACCAAGUAAAACGUCAUCGCUAAAGCCAGGCCUCAGACCACCAAAACAGUGUACAACCUACGCACAGAAUAAUAGCUGGGGGGCUCCACAUGUAGAUCUGUAAUUUUAACUUUACAGUUAAAGUGUUUCUGAACAUGCAUACUGUUGUGGUUGGAUGGCCUUACCAGUACUCUAAUGUUGAUGGAUGUGGAUAAUACUCAUUCCAGCAUUUAUAUUUGCUUGUUUAAACAAACUUAAAGGACAACUGUCACCUCAAAACUAAUUUAUUAAGUUUUGAAAAUAAAUAUUUUUAAUGAACUGUAUGUAAAAAAACAAACAAACAAAUAAAACACCACUGCACAUACGGGAUCCUUUAACCAUCACUACUUCAAAACACUGAAGUGGUCAUGGUGCUUAGAGUGGAUCUGACACCUCUCUAAAAGUAAACCCUCAUCGCCCUGUGCGGAUUUGCAAAGAGGUGUAAGAAAAACAGAUACACAAUAUAAAAUGAAAAUCUGUUCAAAAGUUAAAAAAUAAUUAUAGUAAGAGCAUAGCUAAAUAUGGGUGGGCAAAAAUAUCAGAUGUCAAAGUUCUGCUUUAAUAUGUCACACCCAGUGUGUUCUAAUAUGUCAAAUGUGGCAAUCUCACUAAUCAUAAUCGGAGACAUGAAUAAGAACCUGUAGCAUGCUGGUAACCAAGUGAGACUAACUGAUAAUUGACACUGAUAAUAGUUUACUAUAGAUAACUUGUUUAGAGGCAUUUUCUUUUCAAAACACACUGUUAAGUACUUUUUUUUUUUUUUUCUCUUUCAGCCCUAAAGCACGAACAAGAAAAUCCAAAUGUAUCUUUUUGUAUCUGUGAGAAGUCUGUCCUAUGUAUUGUUUUAUAUUUUUAAAUAAAUAUAAUAGAUUAAAUAAAUGCUGUAUUCUUAAAGCUG